rnacentral:rRNA from 1 species
GAGGGGCAGCGGGGAAGUAGCAAUACUUCCGCCGGCGACCGGCGCACGGGUGAGUAACACGUAUGGAACCUGCCCGUAGCAGGGGGAUAAGCGGAAGAAAUUCCGUCUAAUACCGCGUAAUAACUCCGAGAGGCAUCUCUUGGGGUUUAAAGGGUAACACCGGCUACGGAUGGCCAUGCGGCGCAUUAGCUAGUUGGCGGGGUAACGGCCCACCAAGGCGACGAUGCGUAGGGGUUCUGAGAGGAAGGUCCCCCACACUGGUACUGAGACACGGACCAGACUCCUACGGGAGGCAGCAGUGAGGAAUAUUGGUCAAUGGGCGCGAGCCUGAACCAGCCAAGUCGCGUGAGGGAAGACGGUCCUAUGGAUUGUAAACCUCUUUUGUCGGGGAGCAAAAGACGCCACGCGUGGCGUUCCGAGAGUACCCGAAGAAAAAGCAUCGGCUAACUCCGUGCCAGCAGCCGCGGUAAUACGGAGGAUGCGAGCGUUAUCCGGAUUUAUUGGGUUUAAAGGGUGCGCAGGCGGAAGAUCAAGUCAGCGGUAAAAUUGAGAGGCUCAACCUCUUCGAGCCGUUGAAACUGGUUUUCUUGAGUGAGCGAGAAGUAUGCGGAAUGCGUGGUGUAGCGGUGAAAUGCAU